AGCUCCAAUAGCGUAUAUUAAAGUUGUUGCAGUUAAAAGCUCGUAGUUGGAUAUCUGACCACACCCUGCCUGGCCCGCUCCCUCAGGGAGAAGAGUGCCGGGCCGGGUUGGUCAUCCUUCCGGAGAGUUGGUCUGCCCUUCACUGGGUUGGACUCUUUUACUAUCUGGAUCUUUUACUUUGAAGAAAAUAGAGUGUUCAAAGCAAGCUUACGCUGUGAAUAUAUUAGCAUGGAAUAAUAACAUAGGACUUUCUUUCCUAUUUGUUGGUUCUAGGAAUAAAAGUAAUGAUUGAUAGGGACAGUUGGGGGUGCUGCUAUUCCGUGGCCAGAGGUGAAAUUCAGUGAUUCACGGAAGAGCAACUUAUGCGAAAGCAUUCACCAAGGAUGUCUUCU
rnacentral:rRNA from 1 species